rnacentral:rRNA from 1 species
UACGUAGGGUGCGAGCGUUACUCGGAAUUACUGGGCGUAAAGCGUGCGCAGGCGGUGAUGUAAGUCAGUUGUGAAAUCCCCGGGCUCAACCUGGGAACUGCAUCUGUGACUGCAUCGCUGGAGUGCGGCAGAGGGGGAUGGAAUUCCGCGUGUAGCAGUGAAAUGCGUAGAUAUGCGGAGGAACACCGAUGGCGAAGGCAAUCCCCUGGGCCUGCACUGACGCUCAUGCACGAAAGCGUGGGGAGCAAACAGG